GCAAGUCGAGCGAGACGGUUAAGAAAGAUCCUUCGGGUGAUUGAUUAACUAGACAGCGGCGGACGGGUGAGUAACGCGUGGGUAACCUGCCUUGUACUGGGGGAUAACGUUUUGAAAAGAACGCUAAUACCGCAUAAGCGCACAGCAUCGCAUGAUGCCGUGUGAAAAACUCCGGUGGUACAAGAUGGACCCGCGUCAGAUUAGCUAGUUGGUGAGAUAAAAGCUCACCAAGGCGACGAUCUGUAGCCGACCUGAGAGGGUGAUC
rnacentral:rRNA from 1 species